CUUGAAGAUGGUCCCGCGUCCCAUUAGUCUUGUUGGUAGUGGUAACGGCCUACCAANGCUCCGAUGGGUAGCCGGCCUGAGAGGGUAGACCGGCCACACUGGGACUGAGACACGGCCCAGACUCCUACGGGAGGCAGCAGUCGAGAGGCUUCGGCAAUGGGGGAAAACCCUAGACCGAGCGACGCCGCGU
rnacentral:rRNA from 1 species